CUUCCUUUCUGAUUUCUAGAACGGCCGCUCUUCCUCCACCGUUCAAUAAGCCUGCUCCGUUUCUGGGAGGCCAUGAAUAUACGCCGUGGUGGAGAUCUCAUGGGAGUCGACAUGCUCCUUAUUGAUUCUCAGGCGACCAUGAUGCCGGCAACCCGAAGAUGGUGGGAGGUAAUCAACCCAUUAAGACUUACAAGAUCAGUGGUAUAAUGGAUUACAUUACAUAAACUCUUUUCUUCAUGCAUGUCGCCUAUUUUUGAAUGCCACUUCCGGCACACAUGUUUACUUCGGCAAAGAGACAUCAGCAGGAGAGAGUUUUUUCAACAUGCUGGUUGAAGAAGACACUGGAGUUACGCCAGCUACUCCAUUGCUAAGGGGCUAUGCAAAGGUGGAAGCACUGAGCAUAGCUGAGCUUUGUCACCACUCCCUCUCAGGAGAGUGACUGAAAUCAAGAUAGAUAAGUGGUGGUGCUACGUUUCUUGCUCAAAUUGUGGUAAGAAACUCCAACACACGGCGUCAUCUUUCACAUGUGUGCCUUGCAAUAAUACUAGCGUAGUUGGUGUGCUCCGACGAAACUGGUGAAGGGUUGUUUGUUUGCUUCGAUGGGUCAUGACGAAGCUCCAUAACAUGAGGGCCUAUGAGGCUGGCCAUCUUCUAUCCAUUCUCUGUGUUGACUACUUAUUCAUUCAGUCACAUUCAUCCAAUUUAGCGCAGGCUGGUGAUGGUGUCAACCCCGAGGAAACUGAGGCCCCUCCUUUUGUUAAAGACAUGGAGGGAAAGACAUACAAGUUACAGGUGAGAGUGAGUUCAUACAAUUUCACAGCGAAUCAUCAGACCUUCACUAUCUCCCACAUACUCAGCGAGGGUGCCACCUCCUGAAUUCGUUGACAACGGGGGUGACAGUGGAGAUAACAACCACGGUGGCAACUCAGUGCCUGUUAAGGUGGAAGCUGCUGGUAGUACCAAUGUUGAUGGAGCUACUGGGAAGGUGAAGAAGGCACGCAAGGCCUAGAUGAAGCCGGUUGAUGUUGAGGAUGCUGUUUUCCAGCUUUUUAAAUGAAUAAGCUGUUUUGUUUGGUUGUCUUUUUUUUUCUGUUUUUUUGGUCUUCAUGAACAAUUUUGUGUGUUUUGAUUUUUGCUUUUCCAAACUUCUAAUUUGAGUUAUUGCUUAUCAGUUAUAAAAUCUAUUCCAUCUCAGAAACUUUUCGCAUUAAGUUAUAUACUUUCAAAAUUAGCAACAAUAUAUAUUUAAAAUCUACGUAGAGAAUCUGCAUGCUAAAAAGAAUUGAAGGUGCAGACGUUCUUGGAAAUGAUAAUCUGAUCAUAGCAAUCAACCCAGCCCGAAGAUCCGUUAGCUCGCACGUCUUUGUUUCUGCUUUUAUUUUACAGUUUCUGCUUUUGUUGAACUAUGAUUGUUCCCAAUUCCUUUAAUUAACUAUGAACUGAUCUUGAAUUGAAUGUCUAGAAAAAAAAACUAAGUUCAUACACAGUCAGCAUUGGUUAUACGUACUGUCAUUUCUUGCAAUGCAAGUUAAAAUCAUAACGUGGAAUACCGCAACACACGUCCUCACCGAACAGCAUGAGCCCAUGCAUCACUGUCAUAAUAUAUAAACAUCAAGUUCCACAAACCAGACAUCUAAUCUCUGACCAUACUAUACAAGUUACUCCUAAGUCUCGAGACAAACAUCAAAUACACAAAUAAUAAGAACACUUAAACACACGAACAACAAAACUAAACAAAAAUAUAAAAUAUAACAAAAAUAUAACAACACAACUCAACCAAUACUCAAAUUAUUAAAAAGAUAACAUUUUUCUCAUGUUAAUACUUCGCCAUCUCAAGAUUCUAAGAAAAAAAAGUAACUCUAAAGCAGUUUCUAAUAAUGCAAACACAAGGCUACGAGUAGUUAAAUUUUGUUCAAUGUGUGGAAUAUUAAACUAAAUCAUGUUCAUUGUUCAUACCAAAUCUAAUAAGUAGUCAAAUGACAGCUGAAACAUUUAAGAAACUAUAAAAAAGUUAUGAAAAUAAAUAAAUUUAAUGGAAACACUACUUAAUGAAAGUUGAUGUUAAUUCAAUUUAGACAAAAAAAUAAAACGAAAAACUAUUUUCAUUAAUAAAAACUAUAAUAAAAAGAGUAAAUAAUAUUUAAAAUAAUAAAAUGUUACAAAUAUAUUUAAUAAUAAAUAAAAUAAAUUAUAUUUCAGAAAUAUAAAUAUAUAUCAAAUUAGACUAAAUAAUAUAAUAUCCCGCGAAAGAAAUCUGAGCUGAGUUUAUACUAUAAGCAACUUUGGGAAGCAAAAACACGAGAGCUCAAAAUAAACCUAUAUUUAAAUUUCUUAAUAUGUUUUAAUCAGUCAUAAUUAAACUACAACCAAUAUUUUUGAAAAAUAUACAAAAUAUAUAAAUAAACCUUUGAAUCUAUGUAGUAAAGUGUAUGUUAGAAUAUCUUAUAAAAAUUUUAGGCCUUCAUCACCAUUAGCAACUAUAUAUAGAAAAACAACACCAAACUUCAAUACAUUUUGUUAUGUAUAAACUGCGUAAAAAUGUAAAAGAAAUUAUAUAGAAAAUGAUUUUGAAACAAUCAAAAUAUGAAUUAAUAAUUUAGAACGGUUUUGGUUUGUACUGAGUUUUUUUUUGUAAAAAAUAAUAUAGAUUGCUUUCGUAUGCUAUAGCCUAUAGGGUUACGUGGAUUUUGGUUUGGACUAAAGUCAAAGAGAAACCAAAAGUAUAUUCAAAAACAAAAGUAUAAAAGUGAGAAAUAUAUAACCAAAUAUAACCAAAAUAAUAUCACACAAAAGAAACAUAGAAAGGCAAAAAAAAAAACAACGGUUAAUAAUAUCAGUUACUAACAUUCUCCAAAAAACUAUAAUAACUUUGAUAAAGAAUUUCUCUAAAUAAAAACUCCAUUCCCCGCUAUUUUAUAAACCCUCACAAAAGGGGUAUUAGAAAACUCGAUCUUAUUCUCUUUUGAUCGAAUCCAAUUGAUUUUUGUAUUUUAUAGUUAUAUAAAAUUUAAAACACAAUAAAAGUUACAAUUCGGGAUUAACACAACAAUAAUACUAAGAAAUUGAUCAUUUUUAAUUAUAUAAUUGAAAUUUGGUGUAGGCAACAUAAUCGUACUCACAUCCAACUUAACAUAAAAUAAAUUUACACAAAAUUAUAUUUUUUUAUAAAAACCAAUCCAUCAAAAAAUAAAAAUAAAGAAUUUUAGUUAGACAUAUGCGAAAAAUGACAUAAAAAUGUGUUCUCAGUAUAAAAAACAUAACAAGAAAGAAAGAAAGAUAAUAAUUAAAAUAGUAUAAUGUCAUAAAAUAUAUUUGACAACAAAUAAAAA